rnacentral:rRNA from 1 species
GCUUACGGCCACACCGCCUGGUUCACGCCCGAUCUCGUUUGAUCUCGGAAGCUAAGAUAGGGUGGGCCUGGUUAGUACUUGGAUGGGAGACCGCCUGGGAAUACCAGGUGCUGUAAAGC